AAAGAGAGCCACACCCUGCUCCGUACACGUCAAAGAAACCACAACUAAAAGAGAGGAAAAGAAUAAGAGAGAAGGAUUUGCUGGUUGAAUUGUUUCCUGGUUAUGUGUUUGACGAAGGCUUCGGGUGGGGAAGAAGAGCUGAUCAACAGCCUACACGAUGAGCAACUGAGACGUGGGGGGUGGAAAGGAGAGAGCAACAGAGCAAGACACAAGAGAGCCUUAUAAGACCAAACAGGCUGCAGUUACCCAGGAAUGGGACACUGGCUUCAUUUCCCAAAUGGCCAUUGAAUGUCUCUCAAACAGUAGACGCAUUGGACACGCUCAGCGAUCAUAAAAGCUCCAGAAGUCAUUCGGAGAUGUUUUGCGAGCUUGGGGUUUUUAACGACUCAAGGAUGCUCCUCAAGAGAAUAAAAGAAAGGAAAGCUUUUUUCUCCCCCAGACUGAUUUGACAGGUACUUGUGAGUUGGAUACAUGUCCUUGUUUUGCUUUGAUGUCUGGAAAUGUAAAGGUGCAUCAGUGAAAACUGUUACGAUUGUUAUGUUAUGAGACAUGUGGUUGGAUUAUGUUUCAUUUUCCAUUAAAUUAUAAGAAAUUGUAUAAAAGCUAAGUUGCAAAUUUGUUUUUAACAAUACACAAAACUAAAUACUUUUCCCUGGAAGUGUACCAUAGCUUGUAUUAAACAAGAAUGAAUAAAAACCCUAGCUAACAACAUGUUGCUAGCUAACAACAACUAAGCUGAUAUACUAGCUAGUUAAUGUGCAAGCUAGCUAACAUACUAGCUUCAUGGCUGCUACUCAAACCAGGGAAUUAUACUUGAUUAACUCAUCACUUGAUUUACGUAUUUCAUCAUCGUUAACGAUCUUGACGAAUAAAAAACCACAUACUUGAGAGCUAUAUCGCUGCAUCUCAAGUUUAAACCAAGAUCUAAAGGAAAGAAACGUGACUCUUCCUCCAACUGCUGACAAUUACAAAGUUCAAUUUUACAAGCAAACCUGAAUUUGUUUAAGCUGCUUUCCCCCCAUUUUUUCCCCAUUGUUUUUCUCCUUGGCAGGGAAGCAAACAAAAUUUGUUUAGUGGAAAAAAGUGGAAACUCUGCAGGCUUUUCAGAGAAACUGGAUUUCUUUUUUUGUGCAAGUCGGUGAUUAGAAGCAGAGCUUGAACUUUUAUUGGUGUACAAACCAAACAACAUGGCUUUUAAGCCCACAUAACAGUGUGCCUAAUUGGUUAAACAUGUCUGAAGCUUGUUUUCACCCACCAUAGAUCAGAACCACACGUGGAGCUGAUGUGAUACACACACACACACAUACACAGAACACCUAUCAAAAUUCAUUGACAUACAUUUUCACAGCCACAUAAAAAGGUAUUUGAUAACUUUUUCUCUGAGUAGCAUGCAAACACACACAAUUCUUAUAAAAGCUCCAGUUUUGACUGAAAUAAAAAAGAGUGUCAUUGUGGGGAUCAGCCAGAUGUCCCCACAAAGACAAUUUAUCCUUGUGGGGACAUUAAAUCAGGUGGACACACACACACACACACACACACACACAUAUA